AAAAGAGAGCAGGAAGCGAGGAGGAACUUUACAAGAGAGGGCAUCGAAUCCGCCUCCUUCUUCCUCGCGCGGUCGUCUCCGAGGCCUCCGACAUGGCGAACGCGGCAUCGGGCAUGGCUGUGGACGACGAAUGCAAGCUCAAGUUCCUGGAGCUGAAGGCGAAGCGAACCCACCGCUUCAUCAUCUACAAGAUAGACGACAAGAAGAAGAUGGUUGUUGUGGAGAAAGUCGGUGAGCCUGCCCUGAACUAUGAGGACUUUGCUGCCAGCCUCCCCACCAAUGAAUGCAGAUACGCGAUAUUCGACUAUGACUUUGUCACCGAGGAGAACUGCCAAAAGAGCAAGAUAUUCUUCGUCGCAUGGUCUCCUGACACCGCACGCGUGAGGAGCAAGAUGAUCUACGCAAGCUCCAAGGAGAGGUUCAAGAGGGAGCUCGACGGCAUCCAGGUGGAGCUGCAGGCGACAGACCCGACCGAGGUCGGCUUCGAUGUCAUCCAAGGCCGUGCCAACUGAGCACCAUGGCUGUGCUGCUGCUUACCUUAAGUAUGAGCCUCUGAUGAGGAUUUAGCGUGCUCGCCGAGGCUGGUCAUGAGCUGUUUACCAUGAGGCAAUUGUGAUUUGAGUUGCCAGUAUGUACCACCUAAGGAAGAUGUAAGCUAUGACUGGCGCGACGACAAAUGUAUCCUUUCUGGUUGUUGAUUCGUGGAUCCUGAUAUCCCCUUCUUGCCUGCUAAAGAUCAGUUGCAUCUUGAUGGUAACAAUUUUGGUAGAUUCUAUCUUGUGAGCUUUCAUACUAGGAUCACUGGUUCUUGAAACAAAUGAUGCCAUGAUGUCCACUGAGGCUUAUUAUGCAACACAUUUUGAUGAUAAAACCAAUUCAGAAAUUUGUAUUAGCAUGCCUCAUCCUC
rnacentral:rRNA from 1 species